rnacentral:rRNA from 1 species
UAGGGAAUCUUCCGCAAUGGGCGAAAGCUUGACGGAGCAACGCCGCGCGAGUGAUGAAGGUCUUCGGAUCGUAAAACUCUGUUAUUAGGGAAGAACAAAUGUGUAAGUAACUAUGCACGUCUUGACGGUACCUAAUCAGAAAGCCACGGCUAACUACGUGCCAGCAGCCGCGGUAAUACGUAGGUGGCAAGCGUUAUCCGGAAUUAUUGGGCGUAAAGCGCGCGUAGGCGGUUUUUUAAGUCUGAUGUGAAAGCCCACGGCUCAACCGUGGAGGGUCAUUGGAAACUGGAAAACUUGAGUGCAGAAGAGGAAAGUGGAAUUCCAUGUGUAGCGGUGAAAUGCGCCGAGCUAUGGAGUAACACCAGUGGCGAAGGCGACUUUCUGGUCUGUAACUGACGCUGAUGUGCGAAAGCGUGGCGAUCAAACAGG